rnacentral:rRNA from 1 species
GACGAACGCUGGCGGCGUGCCUAAUACAUGCAAGUAGGACGCAGUUGCGAACGGGGGAGUAACGCGUAGGUAACUACCUAUUAGAGGGGGAUAACUAUUGGAAACGAUAGCUAAUACCGCAUACUAGUAGAUGGACCUGCGUUGUAUUAGCUAGUAGGUAGGGUAAUGGCCUACCUAGGCAACGGUACAUAGCCGACCUGAGAGGGGGAUCCGCCAAACUGGGGCUGAAGAAAGGCCCAGAAUCCUACGGGAGGAAACAGUAGGGAAUCUUCGGCAAUGGGGGGAACCCUGACCGAGCAAAGCCGCGUGAGUGAAGAAGGUUUUCGGGUCGUAAAGCUCUGUUGUUAAGGAAGCGGUACUUAACCAGAAAGGGACGGCUAACUACGUGCCAGCAGCCGCGGUAAUAC